AUGCAGCUGUUCUCUUAGUUACAUUGGCAGAUUGUGUGUUGUCAAUGUUGACUAUUGCUUAGGGAACCAGAGUAUAUCAGUGCAUGGCCUCUGCCUGGCCCUUUCGCACAAGUGUAACUGUAUCAGUCUGCAAAGAUAUGAAAGGAACAUCUGUGAGAUAGAUACUGAAGACUGCAAAUCUGUGUCCUGCAAAAAUGGAACAACUAGUAUACAUUUAAGGGGAUAUUUCUUCUGCAAGUGUGUCCCAGGAUUUAAAGGCAAGUUUUUUUUUUUCCUGAUAAAUCAAAUUUUCUAGUAAAUAGUUGUUAAUAUAUUUAUUUGAUAUAUCUCAGAUGUGUCUAUUGAUUGGUA
rnacentral:sRNA from 1 species